AGUCGAGCGAACGGACGAGAAGCUUGCUUCUCUGAUGUUAGCGGCGGACGGGUGAGUAACACGUGGAUAACCUACCUAUAAGACUGGGAUAACUUCGGGAAACCGGAGCUAAUACCGGAUAAUAUUUUGAACCGCAUGGUUCAAAAGUGAAAGACGGUCUUGCUGUCACUUAUAGAUGGAUCCGCGCUGCAUUAGCUAGUUGGUAAGGUAACGGCUUACCAAGGCAACGAUGCAUAGCCGACCUGAGAGGGUGAUCGGCCACACUGGAACUGAGACACGGUCCAGACUCCUACGGGAGGCAGCAGUAGGGAAUCUUCCGCAAUGGGCGAAAGCCUGACGGAGCAACGCCGCGUGAGUGAUGAAGGUCUUCGGAUCGUAAAACUCUGUUAUUAGGGAAGAACAUAUGUGUAAGUAACUGUGCACAUCUUGACGGUACCUAAUCAGAAAGCCACGGCUAACUACGUGCCAGCAGCCGCGGUAAUACGUAGGUGGCAAGCGUUAUCCGGAAUUAUUGGGCGUAAAGCGCGCGUAGGCGGUUUUUUAAGUCUGAUGUGAAAGCCCACGGCUCAACCGUGGAGGGUCAUUGGAAACUGGAAAACUUGAGUGCAGAAGAGGAAAGUGGAAUUCCAUGUGUAGCGGUGAUAUGCGCAGAGAUAUGGAGGUA
rnacentral:rRNA from 1 species